rnacentral:lncRNA from 1 species
UUAUAAUAUGUCUGUGCAUCAAUAAUGGUAUGAUUCUCAAAAAUAAUUUGCAAAACAUUUUUGUUGGUAUGUUCUAAGAAUGUUUUCAUCCUUAAUGUAACAUUCUAAUAUAAUUUUGCAUUCAAUUUGUACUUUAUUUUUAUUUGCAAUGAGAAAUUAUAUGUGAGGAGCAUUUAUUUGUAAUUAGCAAAAUCAGGGGAAGUAACUCCACAAUUAAUUCCUAAAAGGCAAAUUAUUUUGACUUGAGACUGGCGUAAUAGGGUUCAUUAACAAAUGUCUGCUUGUCCCUCACAAGUCUGUUAUUUAAAUUAUGAUCUCUAAAUUAAUUAAAACACAAAAGAAUCAUGUACAUCGAUUAAAUCCAAUCAUCAAGGUUAACCUCAACAGGUAAAUCGAUCACGUGGUGUAAACAAUCAUCUUGUCAAUACUGGAUUAAACUGGUUAGAACUGGUCAAUUUUGAUGUAAAGUUGAAGUCAUCUGAAACUUUACCGAUUUUAAUACGAUUUUUUUACCGAAAACUUUAGCACCACGGAAAAAAAUUAUACAUCGCGGCAAGAACGAUACCACCGCGGCAGAAAAUUAUACAUCGCGGGCCCGUGGUCCUUUAAGGGCCUGGGGAGAACACUGC